CCAAACAUUGUAACGGGUUUGACCACCAACUAAAAGUGCCAAACAAAAAAGAAGCGUUUCUAGCUUUCAACCAACCUAGAGACAAAUAUUUAACUUUGUCAAGCAACCUGAGUAAAGGAGUAAUAGAAGCAUUGAAACACAUAUUGUUACGUUCAGUCCAUAAAACCCAAGCACAAAGAAGCCAAAUAAGCUGGAGAAAAGACUGAGAAGCCUUAUUGCCACCUGUUGAGUGAACAAACUGAACAAAGUGAUCAGACAAAACAUUAGUGUCCACUCCAACAAAACCAAUCCAAUCACGAACCAACGACCAAAGUGAAGCAAAAUACGAACAAGAGAGAAACAAAUGUUGUGCCGAUUCCAAGGCACCGCAACCAGAAACACACAAACCAGCUUCUGUUGGAAUUANGAAUAAGUCUCCCGCCUAAUUCUACCCAAAGUCUCAGCCUCUUCCCGUAACCAAGAGACUCAAUCCUAAUAGUGUUUCCCAAGGUGAAUCAACC
rnacentral:lncRNA from 1 species